rnacentral:lncRNA from 1 species
UGAGCUGGAAUUGUGCCCUCUCCCUGUGAUCUGCUAUCAACAAGCAUUUAGCACUCAUCCAUACCACCUCUAAAAUGCUAUGAAUUGUAAUUAAGCUCUGAACAGAAAAACUAUCUUGUGUCUUCACGCUUUACAGCAUUAAUUUUUUCAAUGUACACCUCUAAAAUGUACUACAAAAAGUUCAGACAUUUGUGUUUUAAUAUACUGAAAGCCUUUAAAAAUGUAAGUGGCCAGGCAGGGUGCCUCGCACCUGUCCCAGCUACUGAGAGGUGGGGAUGCUGAGGCAGGAGGGUAACUAGAGGCCAGGACUCCAGACCAGCCUGGGCACCCAAAAUUCAUGUUCACCCAGAACCUCAGAAUGUAACCUUAUGUGGAAAUAGGGUCUUUACAGAUAUAAUUAAGAUAAGGACCAAAAUGAGAUUAUAUUCGAUUAGGGUGGGCCCUAAAUCCAAUGACAAAUGUCAUUAUUAUAAGACACAAAAAAUUAUAAUACUUAGACACGGAGGAGAAGAUAGCACAAAGGUGGACACAGACUGGAGUGAUGCAGCAAUAAGCCAAGAAAUACCGGAGAUUGUAGGAAGCCACCCGAGCUAGGAAAAGGGAAGGGAGGAAUCUUCCUUUGAGACUGUGGCGGGAACA